rnacentral:rRNA from 1 species
CCUACGGGAGGCAGCAGUGGGGAAUAUUGGGCAAUGGGCGCAAGCCUGACCCAGCAACGCCGCGUGAAGGAAGAAGGCUUUCGGGUUGUAAACUUCUUUUGUCAGGGACGAAGCAAGUGACGGUACCUGACGAAUAAGCCACGGCUAACUACGUGCCAGCAGCCGCGGUAAUACGUAGGUGGCAAGCGUUAUCCGGAUUUACUGGGUGUAAAGGGCGUGUAGGCGGGAAAGCAAGUCAGAUGUGAAAACCACGGGCUCAACCUGUGGCCUGCAUUUGAAACUGUUUUUCUUGAGUGCUGGGGAGGCAAUCGGAAUUCCGUGUGUAGCGGUGAAAUGCGUAGAUAUACGGAGGAACACCAGUGGCGAAGGCGGAUUGCUGGACAGUAACUGACGCUGAGGCGCGAAAGCGUGGGGAGCAAACAGGAUUAGAUACCCCUGUAGUC